UCCUACGGGAGGGCCAGCAGUGGGGARKAUUGGACAAUGGGCGAAAGCCUGAUCCAGCCAUGCCGCGUGUGUGAAGAAGGCUCUAGGGUUGUAAAGCACUUUCAGUAGGGAGGAAUGGUUGUUAAUUAAUACUUAACAAUUUUGACGUUACCUACAGAAGAAGCACCGGCAAACUCCGUGCCACA
rnacentral:rRNA from 1 species